rnacentral:rRNA from 1 species
CCUACGGGAGGCAGCAGUGAGGAAUAUUGGUCAAUGGGCGCUAGCCUGAACCAGCCAAGUAGCGUGAAGGAUGACUGCCCUAUGGGUUGUAAACUUCUUUUAUAUGGGAAUAAAGUGCAGUAUGUAUACUGCUUUGCAUGUACCUUAUGAAUAAGGAUCGGCUAACUCCGUGCCAGCAGCCGCGGUAAUACGGAGGAUCCGAGCGUUAUCCGGAUUUAUUGGGUUUAAAGGGAGCGUAGGCGGGUUGUUAAGUCAGUUGUGAAAGUUUGCGGCUCAACCGUAAAAUUGCAGUUGAUACUGGCAGCCUUGAGUACAGUAGAGGUAGGCGGAAUGCGUGGUGUAGCGGUGAAAUGCUUAGAGAUCACGAAGAACUCCGAUUGCGAAGGCAGCCUGCUGGACUGUAACUGACGCUGAUGCUCGAAAGUGUGGGUAUCAAACAGGAUUAGAUACCCCAGUAGUC